AGCGAACGCUGGCGGCAGGCUUAACACAUGCAAGUCGAGCGGGCCUUUCGGGGUCAGCGGCGGACGGGUGGGUAACGCGUGGGAACGUGCCCUCUGGUUCGGAAUAACUCAGGGAAACUUGAGCUAAUACCGGAUACGCCCUUUUGGGGAAAGGCUUGCUGCCGGAGGCUCGGCCCGCGUCUGAUUAGCUAGUUGGUGAGGUAACGGCUAACCAAGGCGACGAUCAGUAGCUGGUCGGAGAGGAUGAUCAGCUACACUGGGACUGAGACACGGCCCAGACUCCUACGGGAGGCAGGAGUGGGGAAUAUUGGACAAGGGGCGCAAGCCUGAUCCAGCCAUGCCGCGUGAGUGAUGAAGGCCUUAGGGUUGUAAAGCUCUUUUAUCCGGGACGAUAAUGACGGUACCGGAGGAAUAAGCCCCGGCUAACUUCGUG
rnacentral:rRNA from 1 species